rnacentral:rRNA from 1 species
UAGGGAAUCUUCGGCAAUGGGGGCAACCCUGACCGAGCAACGCCGCGUGAGUGAAGAAGGUUUUCGGAUCGUAAAGCUCUGUUGUAAGAGUAGAACGUGUGUGAGAGUGGAAAGUUCACACAGUGACGGUAACUUACCAGAAAGGGACGGCUAACUACGUGCCAG